GGUCUUGUCUCGUUCUUCCGUGCCGGCUUGCUGUUUUUCAGGAGUGGCUUUUAAAGCCACUUAUAUACUUAAAACACGGAAAUUAUGCAUAUAAUAAUCAUAUCAUUUCCCUUAGGUACUUAAGUCACAUGAUAGGAUACAGGAAUAGUAAAAGGCCCCUUCCCUAGCUCGUUUCUAAAUAGCCUUUGUCAAAUGCUCUUCUAUGAAUUUAUGCAUGUGCCCAAAAGCAAACCCAAAAGGAGUCAUUGAGUCAUUUAAUUUUUGAUGUUUUGUAACUUUUAACUUGAUAUAAUAGCUUGGAUAUUUUUACAUCUUAACACGGAUCUUUUUCCUAUUCAUAGCUAAAUGUAAUUUGUUUUCUUUUUUAAAAAGUAUUUCUUCCAUGAGUGAGACAGUGAAUGAGAGGGGGCAUCUUCAACAGUUCUGGACGCUAAGAUUCAUCCCCAGCAUCAGGCAGCCAUGAUCAUGAGCACGUGUGCGUGGCUACUUAGGGAAAGCUCUGGGUUUGAAUUGGAAUCUUCCCAGAUUUGACAACUACGCAGAAACUGUAGACAUAGUAUGCAGAAGGGAAGAGGGAGGACAAGCCGUAUGAGAAGACGAAAACUCUUCAGAAGUUCUGAAUCAAGAGGAGUGAAUGAGAGCUACAAGUCUGAAUUUAUAGAACUAAAGAAGUGGCUGAAAGAUAGGAAGUUCGAAGAUACAAAGUUAAUGCCUGCUUGUUUUCCAGGUACAGGAAGAGGCCUGAUGAGCAAAACAUCCCUGAAGGAGGGACAGGUGAUUAUUUCAUUGCCUGAGAGUUGCCUGCUCACCACAGACACAGUGCUUGGCAGUUACUUGGGGGUGUACAUUACUAGGUGGAAGCCUCCUCCGUCUCCUCUGCUGGCUCUGUGCACCUUUUUAGUCUCAGAAAGGCAUGUUGGGGACCAGUCUCCCUGGAAGCCGUACCUGGAGAUUUUACCCAAGGCCUAUACCUGCCCUGUUUGUUUGGAGCUGGAGGUGGUGAAUCUUCUUCCCAGACCUUUGAAAGCAAAGGCUGAAGAACAGAGAGCCCGUGUGCAAGAGUUCUUCACUUCCUCCAGGGACUUUUUCUCUUCUUUACAGCCUCUGUUUACAGACGCUGUUGACAACGUCUUCAGCUACAGUGCCCUCCUGUGGGCCUGGUGCACCGUCAAUACCAGAGCUGUGUACCUGAGGCACAGGCAGCGGGAGUGCCUUUCUGCAGAGCCUGAUACUUAUGCACUUGCUCCGUACCUAGAUCUACUGAAUCAUAGCCCUAAUGUCCAGGUUAAAGCAGCAUUUAAUGAGGAAACUCGCUGUUACGAAAUUCAAGCGGCUUCAAAUUAUAGAAAAUAUGAAGAGGUGUUCAUCUGCUAUGGUCCUCAUGAUAACCAGCGGCUGCUCCUGGAAUACGGAUUUGUUUCCACUCAUAAUCCUCAUGCUUGUGUUUAUGUCUCAGCAGAUAUACUUGUUAAAUAUCUUCCAUCAGAAGAUAAACAGAUGAAGAAAAAGAUUUCUAUUUUGAAGGAUCAUGGCUUUAUUGAAAAUUUGACAUUUGGAUGGGAUGGACCAUCUUGGAGGUUACUAACAGCCCUUAAACUGUUAUGUCUGGAAGCCAAAGAAUUUAUACGCUGGAAAAAAGUACUUCUUGGGGAAGUAAUUUCAGAUACAAAUGAGAAGACAAGUUUGGACAUAGCCCAGAAAAUAUGCUAUUACUUCAUAGAAGAGGCUAAUGAUAUGCUUCAAAAGGUUACCCAAAUGAAAGAGGAAAAAGUGACUUUGACAAACCAGCUAACUUUGGUGGAAAUGUUGUGGAUGGAGGAGCUAAAGAUUCUCAAGGCAUCUGCUGAGAUCCUAAAGAGCUUGCAAACAGCUUUUACUUGACUUUACCUGAUGUAUUUCAUCACCUCCUAUGGUGGGUGAGACUCAACAUCUCAAACCAAGUUAUUAAGUGCUUCUUCACAGAGGGAGUGGUGGCCACUCCUAGGAUGUUGGAUGAUGUCUGCAGAGGGCAGGACAGGUCCUGGGAAUUGUGGAGCUGUGAGGAAAGAUGGAUGUGCCACCCGAAUGACACUUCUUACACUACUAAAUAAGCAGCAGUCCUGAAGGAAGUACGAAGAGAGUACAGAUCUGUCAGGAGAGGAGACUGUGAAGAAACAGGAGCCAGCUGGAAUCUGUGUGUGGUCUGUCACUGCAUAUCCUUAUUCAUAUGUCUCUGCAGCUGUAAAAGGCCAAGAAACUGCGCUUUUAAGAUGCUAUGAUACCAUUGGGUCAAAGGGCCAGUUGGCGGUGGGUGGCUCCAGGCAGGUGGCGGACAUGGGCAUGCAGUCCUGGGUCCCAUCUGGGGCAGCCAUCAGUCAGCCCUUUCCUGUAUUGAAGAGCCUUCCAGGGAACACUCAGGGCUUCCAGGAGGAGGGAAUUUCCUUUCCUGGCCCAUCACAUGCCUGAGGUAGGGCUCCUCUUGUUACUGUGGGAAGAAGAGCUAACUUGGCCACAUCGUUCUUCUGGCUUUAUCUGGCGUUUCUCUUGGGCAGGCCUUUCCACCUGGGGAGCCAAGCCCCAUCAGCACAACUGUGCUUUGGGGGCAUGUCUGCUGAUUCUGUGCUUCAGGUUAGGGCCACUGACUUAGAGGUUUGGGGAUAUUUGAACCUCUAUUCUUUUGGUUUUAUUUUUUAUCCCUCUGAGACCCAGUGUGUGCAGAAGGGGUACUUCUUCCACAAC